rfam:Pteropus alecto contig96462, whole genome shotgun sequence.
GUCUAUGGCCAUGCUACCCUGAACAAGCCCAAUCCUGUCUGAUCUCAGAAGCUAAGCAGGGUUGGGCCUGGUUAGUACUUGGAUGGGAGACCACCUAGGAAGACCAGGUGCUAUAGCUG